rnacentral:rRNA from 1 species
CCUACGGGAGGCUGCAGUGAGGAAUAUUGGUCAAUGGACGAGAGUCUGAACCCGCCAAGUAGCGUGAAGGAUGACUGCCCUAUGGGUUGUAAACUUCUUUUAUAUGGGAAUAAAAUGUUCCACGUGUGGGAUUUUGUAUGUACCAUAUGAAUAAGGAUAGGCUCACUCCGUGCCAGCAGCCGCGGUAAUACGGAGGAUCCGAGCGUUAUCCGGAUUUAUUGGGUUUAAAGGGAGCGUAGGUGGAUUGUUAAGUCAGUUGUGAAAGUUUGCGGCUCAACCGUAAAAUUGCAGUUGAAACUGGCAGUCUUGAGUACAGUAGAGGUGGGCGGAAUUCGUGGUGUAGCGGUGAAAUGCUGAGAUAUCACGAAGAACUCCGAUUGCGAAGGCAGUUCACUGGACUGCAACUGACACUGAGGCUCGAAAGUGUGGGUAUCAAACAGGAUUAGAUACCCUAGUAGUC